GUCUGGGGAAGGAGGUCGGGGCCAUGGGCGCGGGCACCACGGGGUCCGACGACGCCGAGGCGCUGGACGCAGUGCUGGGCACGCUGCUGGCCGUACUGGUGCUGGUGGUGGUCAAGGCGGCCGUGGACGUGCUGCGGCGGCGGCGAGCGCACGCGACCGUCCUGGUGGUGGGCGCGGGGCCGGUGGGGCUGACCGCGGCGCUCGUCGCUGUCCGCUCGGGCCGGGUGCUGAAGCUGACCGUGCUGGACGCGUGCGCGCGGGGUCCGCUGCUGGGGCGCACGCAGCAGAUUGCGCUGGACCCCCGCAGCGUCCGCUUCCUCCAGCCGCUGGGAGUGGACUUCGACAACAUGGAAGGCUGCUGGCGCAAUGGCCACUUCUUCACCCGGGUCGGCGUCUUCCAGGAGCACCUGCUCAGCCUCCUGGAGAGGAAGGGCCAGCGGCCUGGCUUUCGUCUUAUCCUGGGCACCAAGUUUACAGAUGACUUCAUGAGAAAGGUGGUAGUGCCAGACUGGCCCAAAAUCAUUGUGGUGGCUGAUGGCUCCCAUGGGGAGACCUGCUCUGUUCUGGGGCUCAGUCCAGAUUAUGUAGUGGAAUCCUGCAAUGCUUAUGGAGCUAACGCCACCAUCACGAGACUGGACCAGAGACAGGUGCCCACACCAGAAAUCCGAGCCCACAACCUCUACCUCGAUCUCUCUGCUUAUGGGAUCGAGUUCACUUCUGCAAAAAAGGAAUCCCCAAUCUCGCAUCAGGCAGUCAAACAGCCAGGUUUCCACCUGAAAAUCUACGGAACCUUCCGCCACCGAUAUAUCGCUUUGGCAUGUCCAGCUUCUGAUUCCAAAGUUGUUAGAUUUCUCCGUCAUACUGUCAGCUCCUCAGUCAUGAAGACCAUCUUCCACCAAGCGUUCAACGCCUACAAGAUGGACAUCGAGCCCCGCGUGAGGGACGCCGCCAUGUCCCGGGUGCAGUGCAGCAGAAGGCUGUUUGAGAUCACGCUGUCCCACCGGCGGGCCACAGCUGCCUACAUCCAGGGCAUAGGCAGGGUAGUCACUGUGGAGGGAGAGGCAGCUCGAGUGCUCAACUUUGACACGGGAUCUGGGGUGAAUCUUGGGCUCCAGGGCCUGGAGUCUUUGGAAGAAUUCAUUGGCAAGAUCGCGACAGCUGUGGAUCAGAGCGACAUCUUGGAAGCUUUGGCUGCCAAAAUAAGACACUCUAAACAGGUGGUGGAAGACUUUAAACAGAAUGGACUCCUCACGACAAUUUUCAAGUGACUGGGGGCAACACGACUGCCCCCGCCCCCCAGAGGGUGACUCUCCUCCCUGCAGGGCAGAAAGGAGCUAGGAAUGAGGUUAGGCUGAAAUAGAAUUUCGUGAGUGUUGGCAAGUUAGCAAUUAUACACGAAAGCUACAUCGAAGCUUGGGGUCUUUAUAUAUAAAUUAAACAAGUGAAGUUUCCAAACUCAACGGUCUAAUUUCCAGAAGUCGCUGCAAUAGAUGUGAUGUGCUCAGCAGGGGAGAGUGCCUACCUGUGGCCCAGGAGAAAAUGUGUAUUAUUACUUCUGAGAAUUUUCAGAAUAAAACAGAAUCACUCUCUCCUUCUGAUGCUUCAGGGAAUCAGUUCUUAGCCUAUUAUGGCUGUAAAGGUUUACAAGUUACCCAGUUUAGGGGACCCUAAUCUUUUAGAUUUCAUGCAAUAGAGAAAGGCUUUGGUUUAUGGUUCAUUUUUAUUGUUAUUUGUGCAUUGUUUUUAGUGAGGUACAUAAUACUGAGAUUAUCAACUUUAUAAUUGUGUCACAAAAGGAUGUUUUAAAAAUGAAACGGGCAAACAAAAAAAAUCCUGUUGUCACUAUCUUUUCAUAAAAGAUAAGAUUUUAUUUAUUUUUUGGGGUGAGGAAGAUUUGCCCUGAGCUAACAUCCAUUGCCAAUCUUCCUCUUUUUUUUUUUGCUUGAAGAAGACCAGUCUCAAGCCAAUAUCCAUGCCAAUCUUCCUCCACGUUUUAUGCGGGAUGCCUCCACAGUGUGGCUGACAAGUGGUGUAGGUCCGUGUCUGGGAUCCAAACCCACGAACCUGGGCCGCCGAAGCUGAGUGCGUGGAACUUCAAACACGCAGCUACAGGGCUGGCCCUGACAUUUUAACGCUAAAAAAGUAGGAAAUAAUAUACAUCAUCUAAAAAUUAUAUUUUUGCCAGGAACCUAAUAGAGUUUCCAGACUUACUUCCAGGUUAUAGCAGAAACAGGGAUAAAGGAAGAAUUUAAAUUGUAUCAGAUGGGAGCAGUCAGAAAAAUCAAGAAAAGAGGUUCAGAUGACAUUACCUGGAUUCUUCAGAAUGUCAGCAUCAUGAGGAAAAAAGGUGGGAGCACUGUUCCAGAUUAAAUGAGACCAAAGAGACAAGGAACCAAGUACAAUGCAUAAACCUCAAACGGCUCCUGGUUCGGGGGGAAAAAUAAGCUAUAAAAGAUAUUUUACAAUUGUUAAACAUAGACUACCAUAUGAUCCAGCAAUUCUACUCCUAGGUAUAUCCCCAUGGGAAAUGAAAACAUAUGUCCACAUAAAAACUUGUACAUGAACAUUCAUAGCAGCAUUAUUCAUAGUAGCCCAAAAGUGGACACAACCCAAAUGUCCAUCAACUGAUGAAUGGGUAAAUAAAAUGUGGCAUAUUCAUAUAAUGGAAUAUUACUCAGGCUUAAAAAGGAAUGAAGUACUGAUACAUGCUACAAUAUGGAUGACCCUCAAAAACAUUAUGCUAAGUGAAAGAUGCCAGACGCAAAGGACCACAUGUUGUAUAAUUCCUUUGAUAGGAAAUGCCCAGAAUAGGCAAAUCCUUACAGACAGAAAGUAGAUUAUGGUUGCCAGGGGCUGAGGGGAAGGGAGAAUGAAGAAUGAUUGCUAAUGGUUUCCUUUUGGG
rnacentral:lncRNA from 1 species